rnacentral:rRNA from 1 species
UACGGGGGGGGCAAGCGUUGUUCGGAAUUACUGGGCGUAUAGGGCUCGUAGGUGGCCAACUAAGUCAGACGUGAAAUCCCUCGGCUUAACCGGGGAACUGCGUCUGAUACUGGAUGGCUUGAGUUUGGGAGAGGGAUGCGGAAUUCCAGGUGUAGCGGUGAAAUGCGUAGAUAUCUGGAGGAACACCGGUGGCGAAGGCGGCAUCCUGGACCAACACUGACACUGAGGAGCGAAAGCCAGGGGAGCAAACGGG